UGCCCAGGUGGUGGAAUUGGUAGACACAAGGGACUUAAAAUCCCUCGG
rnacentral:tRNA from 1 species